rnacentral:rRNA from 1 species
UGAAUACGAGAUGCUACGGCAUCGAAGCAGUCUAUGUCAUACUUCCAAGAAAAGCUUGCACUGUCAUAAACAAAUAAUGCCUGUACCAUAACCGACACAGGUGGGUAGGUAGAGUAUACUAAGGGGCGCGAGAUAACUCUCUCUAAGGAACUCGGCAAAAUGACUCCGUAACUUCGGGAGAAGGAGUGCCUUAUUUUAUAAGGUUGCAAUAACAAGAUCCAAGCAACUGUUUACCAAAAACACAGGUCUCCGCUAAGUCGUAAGACGAUGUAUGGGGGCUGACGCCUGCCCAGUGCCAGAAGGUUAAAGAAGUUGGUUAGCAUUAGCGAAGCUGAUAACUGAAGCCCUGGUGAACGGCGGCCGUAACUAUAACGGUCCUAAGGUAGCGAAAUUCCUUGUCGGGUAAGUUCCGACCCGCACGAAAGGCGUAAUGAUUUGGAUACUGUCUCGGAGAGGGGCUCGGUGAAAUAGACUUGUCUGUGAAGAUGCGGACUACCUGCACCAGGACAGAAAGACCCUAUGAAGCUUUACUGUAACUUGAGAUUGAAAUUGGACUUUAUUUGCGCAGUAUAGGUGGGAGACGUUGAAAAUAUUCUUGCGGGAAUAUUGGAGUCAUCAGUGAGAUACCACUCUUAUAAUGUUAGAUUUCUAACUUUGUAUCAUUAUCUGGUCAAAGAACAGUCUCAGGCGGGCAGUUUGACUGGGGCGGUCGCCUCCCAAACGGUAACGGAGGCGCACAAAGGUUUCCUCUGAACGUGUAGAAAUCGUAUCUAGAGUGUAAAGGCAUAAGGAAGCUUGACUGUGAGACCUACAAGUCGAGCAGGGACGAAAGUCGGUCUUAGUGAUCUGACGGUGCUGAGUGGAAAGGCCGUCACUCAACGGAUAAAAGUUACUCUAGGAUAACAGGCUGAUCUCCCCCAAGAGUUCACAUCGACGGGGAGGUUUGGCACCUCGAUGUCGGCUCAUCGCAUCCUGGGGCGGUAGUACGUCCCAAGGGUUGGGCUGUUCGCCCAUGAAAGCGGUACGCGAGCUGGGUUCAGAACGUCGUGAGACAGUUCGGUCCAUAUCCGGUGUAGGCGUUAGAAUAUUGAGAGGAGCCUUCUUUAGUACGAGAGGACCGAGAAGGACAUACCUCUGGUGUACCAGUUAUCGUGCCAACGGUAAACGCUGGGUAGCUAUGUAUGGAGAGGAUAACCGCUGAAAGCAUCUAAGUGGGAAGCCCACCUCAAGAUAAGUAUUCUC